rnacentral:lncRNA from 1 species
CGUGCAAUGGUCUCGUAUCGUGUCGGAGCUACCUAGUUAUAUGUAGUUAAGGAAUGCGUGACGCGGCACUCAGUUAGGGAGAACCCAAUAAACACCUGCCACAGGACGAGCACUGAUUGGCUGAGGAUUAGGGGUUGGUUUCGCCAGGUCCUAUAAAUACGAGCAGGAGUUGCAAAUCGGACAUCAAAUAUACUGGAAACGUUGAACAGUCAGUAUCAGAAUAAGUCUACUCCAAACCAACAGCGAAUAUGGCCUACGAAACUCUGAUCAUCAACACGUACAGUCGUGUGAGCGUGAAAAAGACCUACACCCCAUCAAAGGCUGCGAAGAAGUUAAUUAAAAUGGCCUAUAAACUGCUCAAGCCGUCUUUCAUCUCCUCCAAGAGGCAUUGGCCAACCCAAGCACGGUUGCCUCAAGUGAUCGUACUUAGCGAAGAAGAAUUACAGAACUUCCAAAAUGACGAGUUGGAAGCAGCGGCGCCAGUGUAAUUUCAUCAACUAUGAUGGACGGAAAGGAUCGUCCUAAACACCUAGAAAGAGCUUUAAGACUACACCGGAAUCGGUCUCUAAAUUUCCGAGCAGCUUGAACGUCUCAACAAGUGAAAAAUUAUUCAAAUGCACCCAACUAAGCUUAAAUCAUUGUCUUCCAUCUAUGUACAUAUAUUUAAGUGCCUGAAUAAAUACAUAAUAUUAUAAUAUGAC